UACGAAGGGGGCUAGCGUUGUUCGGAAUUACUGGGCGUAAAGCGAGCGUAGGUUGCUCGAUAAGUCAGUGGUGAAAGCCCAGAGCUCAACUCUGGAACUGCCAUUGAAACUGUCGAGCUGGAAUGUCAGAGGGGAUAGCGGAAUUCCAAAUGUAGGGGUGAAAUCCGUAGAUAUUUGGAGGAACACCGGUGGCGAAGGCGGCUAUCUGGAUGACUAUUGACACUGAGGCUCGAAAGCGUGGGGAUCAAACAGG
rnacentral:rRNA from 1 species